AGGAAACACAUGGACGUAUAAUGAAAAAACUGUUAAGUUGAUGGAUCCAAUAUUGAAACAGUUAUUUCUUUUUAAGAUGUGGCUGAGAAUUAAUAAAGGUCAUUGUACAUGCUUUUGUUUAAAAUAAUGAAUUAGGAGAAAUAGUAAGAUAUUAAUGCUUUUUCUUCCGUUCCCUAGAAGUAAAACUUACUCGAUCAUAAAGUACUAAUAAUAGUUAGCUAUCGCAGAGUUGUAGUGAAUGCUAAACUCUGUUACUCACAAUAGUAUCACAUUUCAAGUCUACCUUUGACUGUGACUCAACGAUCAUUUGAAAAUAACAUGCUCUGAUAAUUAAAAAUGAAAUUUGACAAAUAACAUAUGCGAUAUUUUUGUCUUAUAAUUUUUUUGCGUUCAGCUCUGGAAUGAAUAAAAACCUUUACCGUUAGAUUUCCAAACGCAACUUGCUUGCAUAGUGUUCUGCCGAUUGCUGUUCAGAAUUCCUAGCAAUAAUUGGACCGAUUUGUUUCAAUCGCAAUUGCAUAUGCCUCUCGUUUUACUCGCGACCUCUUCAGACCCGUUCAUAGAUUGUUUACAUCGAUUCGUGUCUCACGGUUUUAAGAGCAUUUCCAGUUUACAUUUUUAAAAGUAAAAAGACUUUUAAUAGUGACAACUGAUUGGUUCGUUCGUAUUGUCUUUUUAUAAAUUUGCAGAGAAUAGACAUUUUAUUUAUGUGAAAAUACAAACAAACAAUUUCAAAUGUGAAAAAGAGGUUUUUGAUUGGGAAAACUUCACAGGAAAGACAUUUUGUGGGUGGGUGGUUUAGAGUUGCUGGCAAUGAGGAUGGAAAAAUGAGCCGGCGGGCAAGAAAAAUAUAGAAAUAAGAUGGGGAGAGGGUAUUCCACAAGGUGGCGAAGGGUGGAAGGACCAAGUAGGGUGAAGAGAAUAGACGCAGCAUGGAUAUCGAUUAUUUGCGGUUGCAGCGGCUGCAAGGUUCUCUCUCCCUUCGUCGGUAGCCGAGUACGAGCACCCGGAAAUUUCAACGAUACACCGAACCGAGAUUAAUCUCAUUUUUCCCUUCCGGUUUUGAAAUAGUUCUCAAUCGAAUUAUACGAACGAAGGGCUCGUUCAGUUAAGGGGUGAAUAGGGUAUUAAGUUAAACGUGUUCCGAAAGAUAUUUCGCUUGGAGAUCUUUUUGUGAAUGUGAUGAGUAGCUAUUGUCAGUUUUCUUUUCAACAUAGGUUACUUUCCAACCAGAGUCUUGACCUAUUAAUAGAUAAAAGCUUGUCCUAAUCUCGUUUCGAACAAGGAAUCACAGACUUCACAUUUUUUAUGCCGCCGUCACAAUUUACCAUAUCGUACCGUCUCUCCAUUUCGUGAUUACAUAUUUAAUAAAGUUAUUCUGUUAUGUACGAAUAUUAGUGGGAGUCAGAGUAAUUACUGUGUUUCUUGGGAAUACAACUGGCCAAGCAACAACCGUUCCAUGAAAUGCUUUACACAAUCGAUAAUAAUGAGAAUAAAAGAGAUGCUAACAGUCGGAUAGGAACCUUGAUUCGUCGAUAGUGAAAGAAGAGUCCAUUCCUUUUUCCUUGGUUAAAUCUUUCUCAUCACGAUGCAGUGAUUGUAUCUUUAUACUGAAAAGGCCUCCAGUUGAAUCCAACGCUUAGGAAAUCUACAUAUAUUUUUGUGCUAAACAAUUUGAUUCCCUCUGAACGCUGACAUUUCCUCAAGAAUUCUCUCACACGAAUCUUUUCCUAUAUUAUCUGCAAUCAUUUCAGAUUAAGGAUAACUCUAAGCUUUCACUGUCGCACACCAUCACAUGACUCAACUCAAAGAAUUUUGUUAUGGAAGUCGUUUAAUGGAUAAGAUAAGGGAAAGAAUUUUCAGAAAUAUUCUCUGAAGAAGGAGGAAAACGUAUGUAUUCGUCUUGUCGGAAAUGAGUCACUUGGAAAUGAUCCGAGCUGUUGUUUAUGCUAAUGAUGUGUCAUACUAAUCUCCUCCUUCUGUGUUUCACUUCGUUUCCAAUAGAAUUAUCGUACUUCGCAUAUGCAUUCGGAGUUUACUACAAACCGGAUAGCUUCUUAUAUUAUUUCAUAUUGUCCUGUAAUUCUCCAACGGUUCUUUAUGUUUGUAACGAAGUAUAAUGGUAGUUAACAGUAUUAAUGGUUAAACGAUUUUAAUAAUUAUUUUAUUAUAUUCCAAUUGAAAUGUACCUUUCAACACGAGUAGUUAUAUGUAUACCUAAAUUAUAACUUUUUGCGAGGAUUGAAUAGCCUGAACAACCUUAUGAUAUAUCUAUAUUGUUUUAAACAAAUCGCAAUCUAAUUCUUGAUUGUAUCCACAUUUUUUUCUCCGAUUCCAACGCGUCGAAAGUAUUGAAAAAAUUCAGGAAUGUACUACUGUAAGAGUAAUAUGUGUAUUAUUUAACAUAUAUAAUCGCUCGAGCAAAUGAUUCGGUAAAAACGAACGAGUACGAUAGUCAAUUUUAAUUAUCGUUAUCUUCGUAAAUAACAGUCAGUCGUUUGAGUGACGAUGACUGACGACAGUAUGGUAAUUCAAUUAAUGGUAUUUAGAGUAAAGAUCAUUAUUAAUCGUACACGUUCAAGAACUGAAUAACUUUUUUAAUAUUGAACCUAGCGAAUAACUUGUUUAUUAAUUCAUUUAAGAGAAGCUAUCGUCCUUUAUUGUUUGUCCUAUAAUUUGUGCAAAUCCGUUAUUAAAAGUUACAUCUUUAAUUUGAGAAAUGUAGAUUCAUACACUAGUUAAUUAAUGUUUAAAAUUAAUCCGUCGACAACUAGAUCUAACUCUGUUAUUCGAGAAUUUAAUUAUAACUGUCAAAGUAGGAAUCCCAAGUUAGGAACGUUCCGAUUCAUGCACGUGUCGUUGGUUAUUACCGGCAUUUAGGGUCUCGACAACGCUCACAUUAACGUAAUAACUCAAGACCCGACGCAGAACUCAGUACGGUUGGAAUAGAAUGAUUGCUCGCAUACCACGAAUACGUAGCACACGCUGGCCGUGUCCAGCGCACGCACGCACGCACAUCCACGAUUAACCAGGGAAUACGUUAGAACGUUCAAUCGCCGGGUUUUCACUUUGUUAGAUUCCUCGCAUGUGCAAUUGUUUGCGCGUAGUAAGAUUCAACGAUCCACUUUGCGGUAUCCGCGUAUAGAAAUCUCCUGAUAAAUUAUUAUACUGCAAAUUUUAUGGAUUUAUAAGGAAGUUCAACGUAUAGAAAAUAUACACACUGCAUGUAAUGUGCAAAAAUAUACAGAAUAUCGAAAGCAGUAUGCAUAUCACAAUGUUUAAGUAAUAAAGCACAUUUUUUUAAAUUCCUAUCCUAAAUACUUCAUUUUGCAUAAUAAUCCGCAGUCUAUAAAUAAUGUAACGCUGGUUGUGUGCAUUCAUUUGAUAGAAAAAGGUGUUGGGCUAAAAGUCUAAACUCCAACUCAUAUAUGUAUAUAUAUAUAUAUACUAUAUAUUCCGAUGUAUCUUAUGUACAUAUACAGUGGAACCUUCAUUCUAUGAAUUAAUUGAGAGAUAAAUAAGAGUUCUUACAAUAGACCAAGGAGCUAUCACCAUUAGAAUAAAAGCUACGUGUAUAAUUCAAGGUAAACUGAAACUACCAUGCGAAAAUUUUUCCGUUCCUAACAAAUGAAAGAUAAUUAUUUUGAAAGUUUAGAGGUGACGUUUCUUAUUUUGAAAGAAUAAAUGUAGAUCACGAAAACUGAAUUUAUCGGUACAGAAACCGCGACAAAAUCCGGUUUUAUUCAACAUGUUGAAGCAGAUGGUCAGUUAAUGGCUCAUCAUCAAUAUCGUCAUGCUGACCUACAUAAUGCGGCUACAGGGAUUCACGUUCCGUUGGAAUUUCGACAUUCACCGGGCAUCGAUUUCCGCCUUUUACAACGCGAGUACAAGCGAUUGCUAAUCUAUCACACGUUCGAGCAUGUAUGUUUCUGACCAAUAGAUUACAAGCUUGACUAAUUUUUCAAAUGAAUUCUAUUUCACCGAACAUUCCAUUCAACAGACUACGGGAAAAACCAUGCACACGUGUGUACCUUUCAUUUCCAAGAACUUCGAACAAAAUAAUUGAAAUCAAUAAUAUUGUUAUCUGACUGACGAUUUUAUGCAUUUAUAGCAUAAUUAGAUAUGUAAAACAAAAAGUAAAGAAUACACAGUAGGCAAAAUUGCAUAAAGUAUCAACAGCAAAAUGAAUAGUAUGAUGUUUGAAGGAUUAAAGGACAUUGUUACUAAAUAUCAUUUCUUAAAUUGAUGUCCUACAAUACGGUCUAGUCAUCAGUGAAAUUGAAGGGCCAACUUACGGAUACCUGUAUCUUUCUAGAAGAAAAAACGGCUCGAUGAUUCUAUCUGGUGAACCUGAUCGAGCCUCCAAAAGGAAGAACGAUUCUCGCGUCGGUUUUUCAUGCGACUGUACAUCUAUGGCUUGACUCUAGCUCUAACCGAUCCAUCGGCUGAUCUCGCAGGUGCGCGCACUGGAGACAUUCUGCCAAGCUUCCUAUCCCUGUCUAAUACACGCGAGACAGCGUAAGUUUUUCGCUAUUCGACCGAGGACAAGUAUAUAAAAUCCAGAACAUAUUUGUACAUAUUUAGGUAUGCCUAUAUCUUUACUUAAACUAUAUUCCAAUUUUUUAACACUUAAUUCGGCACAAGAUUUUUAAGAUAACUAUAGUCACCGCCCUGAAACUUUUUACAUGGAUAAAACUUAAGUACUGUUUCAAAUUUUUAUUAGAGACCUCAAUAAAAAAG